rnacentral:rRNA from 1 species
UGAAUACGAGAUGCUACGGCAUCGAAGCAGUCUAUGUCAUACUUCCAAGAAAAGCUUGCACUGUCAUAAACAAAUAAUGCCUGUACCAUAACCGACACAGGUGGGUAGGUAGAGUAUACUAAGGGGCGCGAGAUAACUCUCUCUAAGGAACUCGGCAAAAUGACUCCGUAACUUCGGGAGAAGGAGUGCCUUAUUUUAUAAGGUUGCAAUAACAAGAUCCAAGCAACUGUUUACCAAAAACACAGGUCUCCGCUAAGUCGUAAGACGAUGUAUGGGGGCUGACGCCUGCCCAGUGCCAGAAGGUUAAAGAAGUUGGUUAGCAUUAGCGAAGCUGAUAACUGAAGCCCUGGUGAACGGCGGCCGUAACAAUAACGGUCCUAAGGUAGCGAAAUUCCUUGUCGGGUAAGUUCCGACCCGCACGAAAGGCGUAAUGAUUUGGAUACUGUCUCGGAGAGGGGCUCGGUGAAAUAGACUUGUCUGUGAAGAUGCGGACUACCUGCACCAGGACAGAAAGACCCUAUGAAGCUUUACUGUAACUUGAGAUUGAAAUUGGACUUUAUUUGCGCAGUAUAGGUGGGAGACGUUGAAAAUAUUCUUGCGGGAAUAUUGGAGUCAUCAGUGAGAUACCACUCUUAUAAUGUUAGAUUUCUAACUUUGUAUCAUUAUCUGGUCAAAGAACAGUCUCAGGCGGGCAGUUUGACUGGGGCGGUCGCCUCCCAAACGGUAACGGAGGCGCACAAAGGUUUCCUCUGAACGUGUAGAAAUCGUAUCUAGAGUGUAAAGGCAUAAGGAAGCUUGACUGUGAGACCUACAAGUCGAGCAGGGACGAAAGUCGGUCUUAGUGAUCUGACGGUGCUGAGUGGAAAGGCCGUCACUCAACGGAUAAAAGUUACUCUAGGAUAACAGGCUGAUCUCCCCCAAGAGUUCACAUCGACGGGGAGGUUUGGCACCUCGAUGUCGGCUCAUCGCAUCCUGGGGCGGUAGUACGUCCCAAGGGUUGGGCUGUUCGCCCAUGAAAGCGGUACGCGAGCUGGGUUCAGAACGUCGUGAGACGGUUCGGUCCAUAUCCGGUGUAGGCGUUAGAAUAUUGAGAGGAGCCUUCUUUAGUACGAGAGGACCGAGAAGGACAUACCUCUGGUGUGCCAGUUAUCGUGCCAACGGUAAACGCUGGGUAGCUAUGUAUGGAGAGGAUAACCGCUGAAAGCAUCUAAGUGGGAAGCCCACCUCAAGAUAAGUAUUCUCA